rnacentral:tRNA from 1 species
CCGGAGAGCUGGCCCGGGUAGGCGCUGGCCUUGUCGGCCAGGUCCACGAUGGACAAUGCCUCCAGUGCACGUUCGCGGCGUUCCUUCUUGGGC